rnacentral:lncRNA from 7 species
AAUGCAGAAGCCAACCAAACAAGAAGAAAAACGUACAUCACUGAGGACUCAGGUACUUGCUGGGUCAGCAAGAGAAACCUGCUUUGUACUUCAAUUCCUGGGCGUUUUGGUGAAGUGUAUUUUCUGAACAACUAGCAGAUUAUGAUCCAGCAGGCUUCAAGAGAUUAUGACUCUUCUAAAGAACCUCUAUCGUGAGUGAAAGGCUGAAAUCUGAAGCCAACAACUGCUGUCCUUCCUGAUCAGACAGAUCAGCCAUUAGAAUAAAGAGCUCAUAAAAGAUUUGACAUUUUCUCCUCCAUUGUCUUCAAUUACCAAGUAUGGCUUCUGCCCAGUGGUUGCCAGUACAACCAGCGCUCUCUUCUGUACCAGAGAAACCAGGGAUAUGGGAAGUCUGAAAUCAUUUAUGCACCUGUAGUUUGGACUUGGUUCUAACAGACCAGUUUGGAGUCUGUCUGUUUGGAGUCUGCCUGUGCCCUGCAAGUUUGGAUUACGUAUGUUGCCUUUCACCAUUCCAGGUAUCUGCUUUGACAGAAUGUAUAUCAAACAAUGCUUCUUUUUGGAAAUCUCAAUUAAAACUUAAUCUGCAGAAUGCUGUAUUGAUUUCUGCAUUUAGCAUAGCUUCCACACCACGGAUUAUGACUCAAACCCUUUCCCUCUGAAACUAAAGUAAUCAGUUGAACUCAAGCAUUGAUUUUCAAAGCAAAUGUUCAGUUGAGUGUCUAAUUAUGCAUUUGUGUAACUUUGUGUUGCACAGAAAAAUUGUGUUAGUUCUGUAUUAUGGCACUCACUUCAGUGGUGAAUCAGAUUCUCCACUAGAUGGUAAUGUUGCUUCAGAUCACUUGUGUUGAAAGGAGCUUCUCUGCCAACAACUCCUAAAGGAAGUGGAGGGAGGCCACAAGAUUUGUCCAAGAAGUGCUCUGAUUUGGAAAAGUUUUGAUGAAAACUUUUGUGCUGUAAUUAUUAGCAUCAUGGAAGUCCUAGUCCAUGAAACAACCUCUAGAACUUCUAAAAACAAUGAAUUAAUUGAUGGAGAAUGCAGAAGACAAGCAGAGUGAUCUCUGCCUGAAGCAUGUGCCCAAUACUCAUCAUUGCAGCUGAGUGACUUGAAAUCCUUCAGUUGUUGCUAGCCACAAUUCUGCUGGGAAGAAGCAAAAUCCUCCUUUUAUGGCAAGAAAGACAGAGAAGCUGAAGACCAUUUUGCAGUUGUACUGGAAAGUCUUGCUAGCAACAUCAGUGCAAUUAUUGGUGGGUACAAACUGCUUGCCACAUCCCUAUGGAGCCACUAUCACUGUCAUCUGGCGCAUGAACUAUUUACAGCGUAUAUCUGCAAAGCAUUAAUCAUCAGUGAGUCGAUUUGUCCAACUUGCUACAGCAAAGCUGCCUUUAUGUAAAUUAUCAUUUAUUUUAAAUAAAUGAUUGUACAGAAAAUGGAAAAUCCAU